rnacentral:rRNA from 1 species
UACGUAGGGGGCAAGCGUUAUCCGGAUUUACUGGGUGUAAAGGGAGCGCAGACGGCUUAGCAAGUCUGAUGUGAAAGGCAUGGGCUUAACCCGUGGACUGCAUUGGAAACUGUUGAGCUUGAGUGCCGGAGAGGUAAGCGGAAUUCCUAGUGUAGCGGUGAAAUGCGUAGAUAUUAGGAGGAACACCAGUGGCGAAGGCGGCUUACUGGACGGUAACUGACGUUGAGGCUCGAAAGCGUGGGGAG